rnacentral:rRNA from 1 species
AGUGAACGCUGGCGGUAGGCCUAACACAUGCAAGUCGAACGGCAGCACAGUAAGAGCUUGCUCUUACGGGUGGCGAGUGGCGGACGGGUGAGGAAUACAUCGUAAUCUACUUUUUCGUGGGGGAUAACGUAGGGAAACUUACGCUAAUACCGCAUACGCCCUACGGGUGAAAGCAGGGGAUCUUCGGACCUUGCGCGAUUGAAUGAGCCGAUGUCGGAUUAGCUAGUUGGCGGGGUAAAGGCCCACCAAGGCGACGAUCCGUAGCUGGCCUGAGAGGAUGGUCAGCGACACUAGAGCGGGGACAGGGACCAGACUACUGCGGGAGGGAGCAGAGGGGAAUAGGGGACAAUGGGCGGAAGCCUGAUCCAGCGAGACCACGUGGGAGGAGAAGGCGUUCGGGUUGUAAAGCCCGUUUGUGGGGAGAGAAAAGCAGCAGGUUAAUACCACGCUGUUCUGACGGUACCCAAAGAAUAAGCACCGGCUAACUACGUG